CGUGGGUGAUCUACCUUCUGGUGAGGAAUAACCCUGGGAAACCGGGGCUAAUACCGCAUAAGCCCGAGAGGGGAAAGUCGAAAGACGCCGGAAGAGGAGUCCGCGGCCGAUUAGCUAGUUGGCAGGGUAAGAGCCUACCAAGGCGACGAUCGGUAGCCGGCCUGAGAGGGCACACGGCCACACUGGCACUGAAACACGGGCCAGACUCCUACGGGAGGCAGCAGUGGGGAAUCUUGCACAAUGGGGGAAACCCUGAUGCAGCGACGCCGCGUGAGCGAUGAAGCCCUUCGGGGUGUAAAGCUCUUUCGGCAGGGAAGAUGAUGACGGUACCUGCAGAAGCAGCUGCGGCUAACUACGUGCCAGCAGCCGCGGUAAUACGUAGGCAGCAAGCGUUGUUCGGAGUUACUGGGCGUAAAGGGUGUGUAGGCGGUUGUUUAAGUUUGGUGUGAAAUCUCCCGGCUCAACUGGGAGGGUGCGCCGAAUACUGAAUGACUCGAGUGCGGGAGAGGAGAGUGGAAUUCCUGGUGUAGCGGUGAAAUGCGUAGAUAUCAGGAGGAACACCGGUGGUGUAGACGGCUCUCUGGACCGUAACUGACGCUGAGACACGAAAGCGUGGGUAGCAAACAGGAUUAGAUACCCUGGUAGUCCACGCCCUAAACGAUGCAUAUUUGGUGUGGGCCGUUCAGUCGGUCCGUGCCGGAGCUAACGCGUUAAAUAUGCC
rnacentral:rRNA from 1 species